GCUGACGAGUGGCGGACGGGUGAGUAAUGUCUGGGAAACUGCCUGAUGGAGGGGGAUAACUACUGGAAACGGUGGCUAAUACCGCAUAACGUCGCAAGACCAAAGAGGGGGACCUUCGGGCCUCUUGCCAUCAGAUGUGCCCAGAUGGGAUUAGCUUGUUGGUGAGGUAACGGCUCACCAAGGCGACGAUCCCUAGCUGGUCUGAGAGGAUGACCAGCCACACUGGAACUGAGACACGGUCCAGACUCCUACGGGAGGCAGCAGUGGGGAAUAUUGCACAAUGGGCGCAAGCCUGAUGCAGCCAUGCCGCGUGUAUGAAGAAGGCCUUCGGGUUGUAAAGUACUUUCAGCGGGGAGGAAGGUGUUGUGGUUAAUAACCGCAGCAAUUGACGUUACCCGCAGAAGAAGCACCGGCUAACUCCGUGCCAGCAGCCGCGGUAAUACGGAGGGUGCAAGCGUUAAUCGGAAUUACUGGGCGUAAAGCGCACGCAGGCGGUCUGUCAAGUCGGAUGUGAAAUCCCCGGGCUCAACCUGGGAACUGCAUUCGAAACUGGCAGGCUUGAGUCUUGUAGAGGGGGGUAGAAUUC
rnacentral:rRNA from 2 species